UACGUAGGGAGCAAGCGUUGUCCGGAAUCAUUGGGCGUAAAGCGCGCGUAGGCGGCCCGAUAAGUCCGCUGUAAAAGUCAACGGCUCAACUGUUGAAAGCCGGUGGAUACUGUCGGACUAGAGUACGGAAGAGGCAAGUGGAAUUCCUGGUGUAGCGGUGGAAUGCGCAGAUAUCAGGAGGAACACCCAUAGCGAAGGCAGCUUGCUGGGACGUUACUGACGCUAAGGCGCGAAAGCGUGGGGAGCGAACAGG
rnacentral:rRNA from 1 species